GGCUGGAGGGCUGCGGCGGGACCGUGCCUCGUACCGGCUGCCCCGGCAGCAGCGCCCGGCGCCGGCCGGCCAUGGCUGCAGAGGAGUCCCGCUCCCUGCUGGGUCACCCCGCGCCGGACCCCGACCCGAGAGUGCGGAACAAGAAGCUGUACCUGGCCGCCUUCGCCGCUGUCCUGGGACCGCUUAGUUUUGGCUUCGUGCUAGGCUAUAGCUCACCGGUUAUCCCAGAGUUGAGGAAAAUCGACGAUCCUAAGUUAAGGUUGGACAGCGAUCAGGCCUCGUGGUUUGGGUCAAUAGUAACAUUAGGAGCUGCUGCUGGAGGAAUACUAGGAGGCUAUCUUGUGGAUAAAGUUGGGAGAAAGCUGAGUCUAAUGCUGUGCUCGGUACCAUUCGUUUUUGGAUUUACAAUUAUUAUAUCUGCUCAGAAUGUUUGGAUGCUUUACCUUGGACGAAUGCUGACAGGCUUAGCCAGUGGAGUUACCUCACUUGUUGUUCCGGUGUAUAUAUCCGAAAUAUCUCAUCCUAAAGUCCGUGGUAUGCUUGGCUCUUGUGUGCAGUUGAUGGUGGUGACUGGCAUACUGGGAGCCUACAUUGCAGGAAUGAUACUACCAUGGCGCUGGCUGGCAGUGCUGUGUUCCUUCCCAUCCUGCAUAAUGCUCUUGUUCAUGUCCUUCAUGCCUGAAACACCGAGGUUCCUGCUGAGCCGGAGCAGGCACUCGGAGGCUGUAGCUGCUCUGCGCUUCCUGCGGGGGCCACAUGCGGACCAUGAGUGGGAGUAUGGGCAGAUUGAAGCUGGUGUUCAGGAAGAGGAGCUGAAUGUCUCUGAAUUUAAGAACCCCUCAAUCUACAGGCCACUCCUUAUUGGUGUGGCUCUGAUGUUCUUCCAGCAACUCACGGGCAUUAAUGCAGUCAUGUUUUAUGCAGAAACUAUCUUUGAAGAUGCAAACUUCAAGGACAGCAGGCUGGCUUCUGUUGUUGUGGGCUCCAUACAAGUAUGUUUCACUGCUGUGGCUGCACUUAUCAUAGAUAAAACUGGACGAAAAGUGCUGCUUUACAUAUCUGGGCUGAUCAUGGCUCUCAGUACUGCAUUGUUUGGCCUUUACUUUAAAAUGGUCCUUCCAACUCCAAACAACUCAUCCAAUCCUGAUGUAUGGGUCACUCUGAAUUCAGCAUCACCAGGAACAGAAAGCAGCAUAUCCUGGCUUGCAGUGGUGAGCUUGGGCUGCUUUGUUGCUGGUUUUGCCCUUGGCUGGGGUCCUAUUCCAUGGCUGGUGAUAUCCGAAAUCUUCCCCCUUAAAGCUAGAGGCAUAUCGAGUGGUGCUUGUGUGUUAACAAACUGGGUUAUGGCCUUCCUGGUAACCAAAGAAUUCAAUGAUUUAAUAGGUUUCUUAACAUCCUAUGGCACGUUCUGGCUCUUCUCUGCCUUCUGCUGCCUCAACAUAGCUUUUACAGCCUUUUAUGUUCCUGAAACAAAAGGACAGACCCUGGAGCAAAUCGAGGCCUACUUCAGAAGAUCUUGAGCUCCUACUGUGGGUGCUGCAGGUACUCCGGGAAUUUAAAGGGAUGUGCUCUAAGAACAGAAACACGAAGCAGAAACUUCAUUAAAAAAAAUGUGAAAGAUUUCUUUGGCAUACACGUGAUGGAACUCCAUCAGUCGGCUUCUCCCUUUUAUUUGUCUGGAGGUUCGGAAGAUAAACCCCAUGUUCUUUGGCUUCCCUCCCCCAAGGGCUGCCCAGUCUGUUAAGAGUUUUCCACCAGCAGUGAUUGCCAAGUACCAUGGUAUUUUCACAAAGUUCUAAAAUACCACGUUGGACUACACCAGACUUGCUUUCACAUCUAAGCUUAACGAAGUUUGAACUGACUGUCCAGAGAAAAAUAUGAAGGUGAACACCUACAACUGCCUCAAAGGAGCUAAGAAGUCCCUGGCAACUACAAGCAUUAUACCACAGUGGAUGUUUUUAACACAAGAGAAAAUAAUCACCUUUUGUUCUCUCCAGUUUAUUUUCUCUGCAGUCGUAUUUGCUUCUUAUGAUUUGCUUUGUUUCUAUAUCCUUUUGGACAGCACUGAGUCUGAAGACAAGGAGACGAGAGUCUUUGCCUGAAGGAUGAAGAGAGACAGGACACGGCAAGUUAAAAAAAGAUGAUGGUAGUUUGAAAUGAAUACUUUCAAAGAGAAGCAGCACCUCCCAAACAGAGUUCAUAAAAGGUGUCAGGAGAGUUUUCUGUUAACUGAGCCCUAGUCCUGUCAAUUUUUGUAAUAACUACUUAGGAUUAUGUGAUAUCUGUUCAGAAAGUCUCACAGCUUUUUGCCAACUCUUGGAGAGUGCAGAUUAUAAUGGAUGGCUGAGGUUGCUGCCUAGCAACUGGUAGGUUUUGUCAAUCUUAAGUCCCUAACAAGUUUGUGGCAUCUUUGAUACCUGCUGCAUUGGUGCCUUCUUCAACACCUUCAGCAGCAUUAAGUCAUCUCCCCGACAUGUUUGCACAACUGAAUAAACAUAUGAUUCAGUCAAAGAGAUUUCCAAAGAGUGUCGAGUUCCAACAGUGGCUGAAGAAAGCCCAAAAGACCACAUGAUCUGUUUCAGGCUUGCCUUGAAGGAAGCAUGAAUGAGCAUUCUGCCUUUUGGAAAAUAACAGCAGUUGCUGUAUAUGCUCCCCUCUUUGAAAUGAGGCAUCUAACACACUUGCCACUCAUAGACACAAUUGCCUCAUGAGACAUACAUACCCAGCACUAGCCACAUUCAUAUGAGAAGAGAAUCAAAGAACAGGCACCUCUCCUACCUUUGUCUGUUCGAGCAAUCAAAAGAUCCAGAGUUUCCAGCACAUGCAUCUGCUUUACUUGGAGAGUUUUAUCAAACACUUGCA